rnacentral:rRNA from 3 species
CCUGGGGAGUACGGCCGCAAGGUUAAAACUCAAAUGAAUUGACGGGGGCCCGCACAAGCGGUGGAGCAUGUGGUUUAAUUCGAUGCAACGCGAAGAACCUUACCUGGUCUUGACAUCCACAGAACUUUCCAGAGAUGGAUUGGUGCCUUCGGGAACUGUGAGACAGGUGCUGCAUGGCUGUCGUCAGCUCGUGUUGUGAAAUGUUGGGUUAAGUCCCGCAACGAGCGCAACCCUUAUCCUUUGUUGCCAGCGGUUAGGCCGGGAAC